GUCGACGGUGACGCGCGCGGCGAACGGCGCGAGGGUGGGGUCCUCGACGGUGAGCGUGGCGCCGGGCGCCGAGCCGAUCGUGCCGGCCCCGGCGGCG
rnacentral:tRNA from 1 species